rnacentral:rRNA from 1 species
CCUACGGGGGGCAGCAGUGGGGAAUAUUGCACAAUGGGGGAAACCCUGAUGCAGCGACGCCGCGUGAGGGAAGAAGUAUUUCGGUAUGUAAAGCUCUAUCAGCAGGGAAGAAAAUGACGGUACCUGAUUAAGAAGCCCCGGCUAACUACGUGCCAGCAGCCGCGGGAAUACGUAGGGUGCAAGCGUUAUCCGGAUUUACUGGGUGUAAAGGGAGCGUAGACGGCAGCACAAGUCUGGAGUGAAAUGCCGGGGCUUAACCCCGGAACUGCGUUGGAAACUGUGCAGCUAGAGUGCAGGAGAGGUAGGUGGAAUUCCUGGUGUAGCGGUGAAAUGCGUAGAUAUUAGGAGGAACACCAGUGGCGAAGGCGGCUUACUGGACUGUAACUGACGUUGAGGCUCGAAAGCGUGGGGAGCAAACAGGAUUAGAUACCCGAGUAGUC